GUAGGGUGCUUUCGGGCAUCUGAGAGUGGCGAACGGGUGAGUAACACGUAGGUGAUGUACCCUGAAGUUGGGGAUAGCUCAUGGAAACAUGGGGUAAUACCGAAUGAUCUAGGAAUUUUUGUAUUGUUAGCAAAGGAGCGUUUGCUCCGCUUUAGGAUCAGCCUGCGGCUUAUUAGCUAGUUGGUGAGGUAAUGGCUCACCAAGGCGACGAUAAGUAGCCGGCCUGAGAGGGUGAUCGGCCACAUUGGGACUGAGACACGGCCCAGACUCCUACGGGAGGCAGCAGCUAAGAAUCUUCCGCAAUGGGCGCAAGCCUGACGGAGCGACGCCGCGUGCAUGAUGAAGGCAGAGAUGUUGUAAAGUGCUUUUAUGGGUGAGGAAUAAUGCGAGUAGGAAAUGACUUGCAGAUGACGUGAUCCCAUGAAUAAGCUCCGGCUAAUUACGUGCCAGCAGCCGCGGUAAUACGUAAGGAGCGAGCGUUGUUCGGAAUUAUUGGGCGUAAAGUGCGUGUAGGCUGUUUAUUAAGUCUGAUGUGAAAUCAUACAGCUUAACUGUAUUGUUGCGUUGGAAACUGGUAAACUAGAAUUCGAGAGAGGAAAUUGGAAUUCCAGGUGUAGCGGUGAAAUGCGUAGAUAUCUGGAGGAACAUCAGUGGCGAAGGCGACUCCCUGGCCAAAGACUGACGCUCAUGUGCGAAAGUGUGGGUAGCGAACAGGAUUAGAUACCCUGGUAGUCCAAGGGC
rnacentral:rRNA from 1 species